GACGAACGCUGGCGGCGUGCUUAACACAUGCAAGUCGAACGGUGAAGGGAUCAGCUUGCUGGUUCUGGAUGAGUGGCGAACGGGUGAGUAACACGUGAGUAACCUGCCCCCUUCUUCUGGAUAACCGCAUGAAAGUGUGGCUAAUACGGGAUAUUCUGGGUCUGUCGCAUGAUGGGUCUGGGAAAGAUAUUGUUUCGGUGGGGGAUGGGCUCGCGGCCUAUCAGCUUGUUGGUGGGGUGAUGGCCUACCAAGGCGGUGACGGGUAGCCGGCCUGAGAGGGUGGACGGUCACACUGGGACUGAGAUACGGCCCAGACUCCUACGGGAGGCAGCAGUGGGGAAUAUUGCACAAUGGGCGCAAGCCUGAUGCAGCGACGCCGCGUGAGGGAUGGAGGCCUUCGGGUUGUAAACCUCUUUCGCCAGUGAAGCAGGCCUGCUCCUUGUGGGUGGGUUGACGGUAGCUGGAGAAGAAGCGCCGGCUAACUACGUG
rnacentral:rRNA from 1 species